GACUGGGGCGGUACACCUGUCAAACGGUAACGCAAGCGUCCUAAGGCGAGCUCAGGGAGGACAAAAACCUCCCGUCGAGCAGAAGGGCAAAAGCUUGCUUGAUCUUGAUUGCUAUGUGGGAUUCGAGCAUUUGG
rnacentral:ncRNA from 1 species